rnacentral:rRNA from 1 species
AGAGCGAACGCUGGCGGCAGGCCUAACACAUGCAAGUCGAGCGCGUGUAGCAAUACACGAGCGGCAGACGGGAGAGUAACACGUGGGAACGCGCCCUUCGGUUCGGAAUAACUCAGGGAAACUUGAGCUAAUACCGGAUACGCCCUUACGGGGAAAGAUUUAUUGCCGAAGGAACGGCCCGCGUCCGAUUAGCUAGUUGGUGAGGUAACGGCUCACCAAGGCGACAAUCCGUAGCUGGUCUGAGAGGACGACCAGCCACACCGGAACUGAGACACGGUCCGGACUCCUACGGGAGGCAGCAGUGGGGAAUAUUGGACAAUGGGGAAACCCUGAUCCAGCGACGCCGCGUGUGUGAAGAAGGCCUGCGGGUUGUAAAGCACUUUUAGUGGGACAAAAAGACUACGGAUUAAUACUCUGUGGUCUUGAUUUAACCCAAAGAAAAAGCACCGGCUAACUCUAGUGCCAGCAGCCGC